CCUAUUCCCACUCUACCAACCUCACUUUGCCAUCCCUACCUCCCUUUUACUAUCAUUUUUUCUCUUUUUCAUUUAUCUUCUCAUCCAUUUUCUCUCCAUUUAGCAAAAUAAUCACCACCCUUUUUUUUUAAACUUUGCUCAUUUCCUCCACUGUGACCAAACCCUCCACCAUUGUUCACCGCACCUCAUGGCUGCUACACCUUCUCUUCUCAUCCUUUUCUCCUCACAUCGCUGCCAUGAUCACCGCUGCGCGCCACUGCGGGUCUCAUUUAUCCCCUUUGUUAUACCGAAACCCCAUAGCCUUUCUCUAUCGGACCACCACUCCACCAUCGCUGGACUGUCACUGCUACCAUCGUCGAUCACUUGAUUCAUCGACUUCAUUCCUUUCUCGACUCAUCGACCAUUCCAUAUUGAAUCACGUUAUAUAAUCGAAGUUAGGACGGGCUCAGCUUAUGGAGGUGCUCUUAGUCAUUUUCAUAAAAAUAUAUUAUUCUGGUACUCGACAUUUUAGGGAUGUGUUUUUGUUAUUGUGGAGUUUUGCUUGGGAUUUUCUUUUGGACUUUGGAUUUUGGAUUUUUCUGUGUGAUUUAGGUUUUAAAAUUAUCAUUUCAAAGAUUGCGUAAUUGAUAAUUUAUGAUGGAUUUUUCAUAA